rnacentral:lncRNA from 1 species
CAUUCUUUUCAUUCUAUCUAGGCCUUUCAUGCAAUUUAUUAAUAACAUUGUUAUACUUAUCAAUUAAAAGAGGCACAGUCAAACUCAUAAAUCAAAAAUAAACUGACAACGCCAUGGCUGAAAAUGAAAACAGAAAAACUAAAGUACACAUGACACAACAUAGAAAAACCUAAGAAUAAACAACACAAACCUCACCAAAAAAUAGGGGUGAUAGUUCACAAAAUUAUGUGUAUUUAAAUAACC